AGCGAACGUUAGCGGCGGGCUUAACACAUGCAAGUCGAGCGAGAAAGUGGCUUCGGCCAUCAGUAAAGCGGCGGACGGGUGAGUAACACGUAGGUAAUCUUCCCUUGAGCGGGGGACAACGAGCCGAAAGGCUCGCUAAUACCGCAUAAGUUCCCAGGGUCUUCGGGCCUUGGGAGGAAAGCUAGGUAGCAAUAUCCGGCACUCGAGGAGGAGCCUGCGUCGCAUCAGCUAGUUGGUGGGGUAAUGGCCUACCAAGGCGAAGACGCGUAGCUGGUCUGAGAGGAUGAUCAGCCACACUGAAACUGAGACACGGUUCAGACUCCUACGGGAGGCAGCAGUGGGGAAUAUUGGACAAUGGGCGCAAGCCUGAUCCAGCCACGCCGCGUGAGUGAUGAA
rnacentral:rRNA from 1 species